rnacentral:rRNA from 1 species
GACCUACGGGGGGCAGCAGUGAGGAAUAUUGGUCAAUGGGCGAGAGCCUGAACCAGCCAAGUCGCGUGAGGGAAGACGGUCCUAUGGAUUGUAAACCUCUUUUGCCGGGGAGCAAAAAGCGGUACGUGUACCGCAUCGAGAGUACCCGGAGAAAAAGCAUCGGCUAACUCCGUGCCAGCAGCCGCGGUAAUACGGAGGAUGCGAGCGUUAUCCGGAUUUAUUGGGUUUAAAGGGUGCGUAGGCGGACUGUCAAGUCAGCGGUAAAAUACGGGGGCUCAACCUCCGCCCGCCGUUGAAACUGACGG